rnacentral:sRNA from 1 species
UUUAGCCGCGAUCUAACAAAUAAGUCAGUGAUUUUGUACAGAUGGGCAGACUACUGAUGAUGAACUUACAAGAGUCAUCUCGAUAUCAGUCCCUGCGGGCAAAGCUGCCACCCCGACACAGGUUCGAACAGGCAGGGGGACGUCAGUCGGAAACGAUGCAAUAUAAGCCUCAUUCAUGGAUGCAAAGUCUUCCUCGUAUUUUGACAGGAAGAUAGUCACAGAAACGACUAUGAAAUAAAUCCGUGUCAACAUCAAGCGGCUCUAAUUUGAAGCGUACCAUCGCUUAAGUCAAGCCCAAGGAAUUGCAAACGCUCUUCUGCGUUGCGCAAAGCCUGUCGAGUGCGAUCCUUGAUCGUCCCGGGAAUGAACUGCCCUGACUUGUCUGUACCGACUGCACCCGCAAGAUAGACUGUCUUGCCAGAGACAAUCAUGUUGGAAGCGAAUUUGCUGGCUAAUAUAUGUUACUCCUAAGGGUCAACAAUGGAAACCUUGUUUGCCUUUGACAUGGUACUUCUUUCUUUAGAACAAGUGAUUAUCCGUAAGCCAGGGAUGAUAAAGGGUGGAUUUGAGGAUGAACGUGGCUUGUAUAUAUUUCCUGUUGUUUCCUGCGUUCUCAGUCGCUCGUUCCUUGGCAAGCUAUUGAUGCAACGAGGCCUUCC